rnacentral:tRNA from 1 species
GCCGAAGUAGCUCAGUUGGUAGAGCGGCGGUAUCGUAAACCGCAGGUCCCCAGUUCGAUCCUGGGCUUCGGCU